AAAAGACCCCGGGACCUUCACUAUAGCUUGGUAUUGGUGUUCGGUUCGGUUUGUGUAGGAUAGGUGGGAGACUGUGAAGCGGGCACGCCAGUGUUCGUGGAGUCGUUGUUGAAAUACCACUCUGAUCGUAUUGGAUACCUCAACCUCGGACCAUGAUCUGGUUCAGGGACAGUGCCUGGUGGGUAGUUUAACUGGGGCGGUUGCCUCCCAAAAUGUAACGGAGGCGCCCAAAGGUUCCCUCAGCCUGGUUGGCAAUCAGGUGUUGAGUGCAAGUGCACAAGGGAGCUUGACUGUGAGACUGACAGGUCGAGCAGGGACGAAAGUCGGGACUAGUGAUCCGGCACCGGCAAGUGGAAGCGGUGUCGCUCAACGGAUAAAAGGUACCCCGGGGAUAACAGGCUGAUCUUCCCCAAGAGUCCAUAUCGACGGGAUGGUUUGGCACCUCGAUGUCGGCUCGUCGCAUCCUGGGGCUGGAGUAGGUCCCAAGGGUUGGGCUGUUCGCCCAUUAAAGCGGCACGCGAGCUGGGUUUAGAACGUCGUGAGACAGUUCGGUCUCUAUCCGCCGCGCGCGUUAGAAUCUUGAGGAAGGCUGUCCCUAGUACGAGAGGACCGGGACGGACGAACCUCUGGUGUGCCAGUUGUUCCACCAGGAGCACGGCUGGUUGGCUACGUUCGGAAGGGAUAACCGCUGAAAGCAUCUAAGCGGGAAGCCUGUUCCAAGAUUAGGAUUCUCACCACCUUGAGUGGGUAAGACCCCCUACAGACUAUGGGGUUGAUAGGCCAGAACUGGAAGCGCAGUAAUGCGUGUAGGUGACUGGUACUAAUCGGUCGAGGGCUUACCACACA
rnacentral:rRNA from 1 species